rnacentral:lncRNA from 1 species
UCUCCCGACUCUCUCUCUGCUCGGUCGAGUGCGGCGCCGCCUCCGGCGCGCCACCUCGCCGAGCACCUCUCUUCCCCCUCUCAUCUCUCUGACCUCCUCCGUCCGCCUCCCUCUCUCUUCAAGAAACGCACACACACAGCACAUCUCAUCUCUCUCCCUCUCCUCGUUUCUGCCGCCGCCGCCCGAGAUCGGCGAAGGUCCGGCAUAUCGCCGUCGUCCUGCUCCUGUCCCGGUGAAUCGACGGCAGCCGCGCCUCCUCACGGCCCAUACCCUCUCGGUAUCUCUCUCUCUCUUCCUGCUCGCGUGGGCAGUCACCCCGGCGACCACAGUGCCGCCGCGACGACCUCAUCAGCACCGCUGCCUGCUCUUCUUUCUCCCCCUCGGCCGGUCGAGCAACGGCAUCCCGAAGGGCCGCCGCUCGUGCCGCUGCUUCCGCCGCGUCGCCGCCGUCUCUGCCGGAGAAGAUAAGUCCUUUCCCCUUUCCUACUUAUUCCCCUUUUCUCUCUUUUCUAAAUCUAAAACUCAAUUAAUCUUUCUCCUCUCCUCCCAAUGUCUGACAGAAAAAAGAAAAGGCGGC